rnacentral:rRNA from 1 species
CACGUAGGGCGCAAGCGUUGUCCGGAAUUAUUGGGCGUAAAGAGCUCGUAGGCGGUCUGUUGCGUCUGCUGUGAAAACCCGGGGCUUAACCCCUGGCUUGCAGUGGAUACGGACAGACUAGAGGUAGGUAGGGGAGAAUGGAAUUCCCGGUGUAGCGGUGAAAUGCGCAGAUAUCGGGAGGAACACCGGUGGCGAGGGCGGUUCUCUGGGCCUUACCUGACGCUGAGGAGCGAAAGCGUGGGGAGCGAACAGG